GUUUUCUAUUUUUUGCUAUUGUAUAAUAUUGUACAACACUGUGCAUAUCUCUUUAUCUGUGUGUCUCUAAUUGUUCCCUUAAACAGAUUUCUAGAUAUGGAUUUACUGGUCAAAGAAAAUGCAAAUUUUUAAAACUUAGAAUAAUAUAAUUGUCCUCUCCACAAUUUGCAACAGUUUAUGGUCCCACCAGCAAUAUAAAUGAGUAUUAGUGAGCCCUCAAACCAUCACUGAGUACAAUAGACUCUUGGAACUUCCCAGAAGGUUCCUAACAUGUAGUAACUGGUAACUGGUUGAGACAGGAGUGGGAAACUGUCACGACUGAUGUGAGGCGAUCACUUAGCACUCUAUGAGUCUAGCUGAAGUCUCAGAGUCUCCAUUUGGUGAAGGAGCUCUGAGCAGAGCCUUGCUGACUUUACCCUGCGGUGUGGCUGCAUCUCAGUACUGCCUCCAUCCAUCAGCGCAUUACUGGGCAGCAGCAGUCAUCGACACCCAUCAUCAUCCCUGAAUUUUUGUACAUUCAGAGUUUCGCUCUUGUGGUCCAGGCUGGAGUGCAAUGGCGUGAUCUCAGCUCACUGCAACUUCUGCUUCCAGGGUUCAAGCGAUUCUCCUGCCUCAACCUCCUGAGUAGCUG
rnacentral:lncRNA from 10 species